GUUUUUUUUCUUUUUUUUUUUUUUUUGCAUUUUAGAUUUUUUUUUGAGAGACUGUUGGUUUUUUUUUUUUUCCAUUCCAUAUCAUUUUUCCAUUUUUGUUGUUUUUUCUAUUUGAAAAUUUGAUUAUUUUGUAUAUGAUUAUUUUUCCAUUCCAAAUUUUUUCUUUCUUUCUUUCUUUCUCUCUCUCUCUCUCUCUCUCUCUCUCUCUCUCUCAAUUCGUUUCUUCUCUUUCUCUCGUUGUCAUUUCGUUACCUCCCUCACUCCCAGACGAGUCGACGACGGCGUAGGUCCUCCCUCGGUCACAGACGACCAUGCACAACUCCUCCCUCAGUCACACCUACAAAUAGGCUUAUUUGUUAAGUGAUGCAAAGUAUACAGAAGACGAAAUUGAUGAAGUGAAAGAGCAUUGGGCAAGUGAGAUGUUAUCGGUUAUUCAAACUUAUCGACGUUAAUUGUUUUUUGUUUUAAUAGGGCAAGUGAGAUGUUAUCGGUUAUUCAAACUUACCAAUGUUAGUUGUUUUUUGUUUUAAUAGACCAAUAGUUAAUAUAUAAUUUGAUAGUUAUGGAUUUAUUAGUAUAAUGAACUAAUAUGUAAUAUUUAUUAAUUUUGUUGAUGUGAAUUAUUAUUAUGGUCUAA